UACGGGGGGAGCAAGCGUUGUUCGGAUUUACUGGGCGUAAAGGGCGCGUAGGCGGCCAGCACAAGUCAGUUGUGAAAUCUCCGAGCUUAACUCGGAAAGGUCAACUGAUACUGUGCGGCUAGAGUGCAGAAGGGGCAACUGGAAUUCUUGGUGUAGCGGUGAAAUGCGUAGAUAUCAAGAGGAACACCUGCGGCGAAGGCGGGUUGCUGGGCUGACACUGACGCUGAGGCACGAAAGCAUGGGGAGCGAACAGG
rnacentral:rRNA from 1 species